rnacentral:rRNA from 1 species
GGAAAUCUCACCAGGCCCAGACACUGGAAGGAUUGACAGAUUGAUAGCUCUUUCUUGAUUCGGUGGGUGGUGGUGCAUGGUCGUUCUUAGUUGGUGGAGUGAUUUGUCUGGUUAAUUCCGUUAACGAACGAGACCUUAACCUGCUAAAUAGUGACGCGGUUCAUCGAACCGUGGGCCACUUCUUAGAGGGACUAUCGGAUUCAAACCGAUGGAAGUGUGAGGCAAUAA